rnacentral:piRNA from 1 species
UAAGCUAACUGACUAUGGUCUUCAAGAG